AGAGACCCAGAGCGCGACAAGUAGAGUGAUAGAAAGAUGAAAAGCACUUUGGCAAGAGAGUUAGACAGUACGUGAAAUUGUGGAAAGGGAAGCGGGGCAACCAGCAACCAGACUGUUGAUCGGCUAGGGUUCUGUCUUCUGCACUCGGCACUGCGCAGGCCAGCAUCGGUUUGGGUGGUGGGAGAAUGGAUGAGGGAAUGUGACUGUAUUUCCGCAGGGUGAUAGCCACCGUUGGCAUACAGCCUCCCCGCCGGGAGGGCCGCGCUUUUGGUAGGAUGCGGGGGUAAUGGUGGUCAGCGACCCCUCUCGAAACACGGACCACGGAGUGUAACAUAUAUGCGAGUGUUUGGGGGUUACACCCCCACGCGGAAAGAAAAAGAAAGUAGGGGAGAACCCGCAAGGGUGCAUCAUCGACCGAUCCUGAUGUCUUCGGAUGGAUUUGAGUAAGAGCAUAGCUGUUGGGACCCGAAAGAUGGUGAACUAUGCCUGAAUAGGGUGAAGCCAGAGGAAACUCUGGUGGAGGCUCGCAGCGGUUCUGACGUGCAAAUCGA
rnacentral:rRNA from 1 species